rnacentral:tRNA from 1 species
GUUUAUGUAGUUUAAAUAAAACAUUACAUUUUCAAUGUAAAAAUAAAAAGAAUUAUUUUUCAUAAAUA